AUUGAACGCUGGCGGCAGGCCUAACACAUGCAAGUCGAGCGGAUGAAGGGAGCUUGCUCCUGGAUUCAGCGGCGGACGGGUGAGUAAUGCCUAGGAAUCUGCCUGGUAGUGGGGGAUAACGUCCUGAAACGGGCGCUAAUACCGCAUACGUCCUGAGGGAGCAAGUGGGGGAUCUUCGGACCUCACGCUAUCAGAUGAGCCUAGGUCGGAUUAGCUAGUUGGUGGGGUAGAGUGCUUCUAAGCCGACGAUCCGUAACUGGUCUGAGAGGAUGAUCAGUCACCCGGGAACUGGGACACGGACAAGACUCCUACGGGAGGCCGCAGUGGGGAAUAUUAGGCAAUGGGCGAAAGCAUGAUCCAGCGAUGCCGAGCGUGUGACGAAGGUCUUCCGAGUGUAAAGCACUUUAAGUUGGGAGGAAGGGCAGUAAGUUAAUACCUUGCUGUUUUGACGUUACCAACAGAAUAAGCACCGGCUAACUUCGUG
rnacentral:rRNA from 1 species